rnacentral:rRNA from 1 species
UAAGGGAUAUUGGUCAAUGGGGCGGGAGCCUGAACCAGCCAUGCCGCGUGAGGGAAUGAGGCCCUACGGGUCGUAAACCUCUUUUGCCGGGGGAUAACGGGCGCCACGUGUGGCGCCGUGAAGGUACCCGGAGAAUAAGCAUCGGCUAAUUACGUGCCAGCAGCCGCGGUAACACGUAAGUUGCGAGCGUUGUUCGGAAUUAUUGGGCGUAAAGGGCAUGUAGGCGGUUUUGCAAGCUUGGUGCGAAAUGCCGGAGCUUAACUCCGGAACUGCGUUGAGAACUGCAUAACUAGAGUCACUGAGGGGCAAUCAGAAUUCCAGGUGUAGGGGUGAAAUCUGUAGAUAUCUGGAAGAAUACCAAUGGCGAAGGCAGGUUACCAGCAGAUGACUGACGCUGAGGUGCGAAGGUGCG